CGUGGUUUUAAGCUCGCUUGCAAAACCAGCAGCAAAGUGGCUCACUGUGGUGCCUGGCAGAAAGUAGAGCAGAAAGCUCAGUGAACUUUAGUGUUCUGAACCUGAAUCUGCUUUUCAUCAUAGUGUGUACUGAUGCAUGCAGCAAUGAAGACCAGAGGCGAGCUAUGCUGCACUGUGGGCUGGCCGAUAGCACAUGGAAGGCAGCAGUGGGAAAUGCAGUGCCAGAGCAGACCGCGUUCAUGGAGGGCCUUUUUUAUAUACUAACAAAGGAAAAUUCAAGUACCAUACAAAGAAGGAUCAAAGACCCUGAACUGGACGGCACCACCCAGAUUGAUAAACUGGCUCGUCUGAUCUUGUGGACCCCACCCAGGACCUGACUCAAAGCAGGAAGACCGCUUCAGCUUCCUAUGAUUUCAUCUCCAACCUGACCGAUCAGCACUCCAGGCUGAAUGGCUUCCACCCACCACCAAGUUGUUCUUAGAAACUCGGAUCCUUGAAUGUUUGGUGAGAUUGAUUCGAGUAAUAAUAAA